rnacentral:rRNA from 1 species
GGGUCAGUAGGUUGGUCGUGCCACCGGUACGUACUGGUCUCACUGAUUCCUCCUUCCUGAAGAACCGUAAUGCCAUUAAUUUGGUGUUACGGGGAAACAGGACUGUUACUUUGAAAAAAUUAGAGUGUUUAAAGCAAGCUAACGCUUGAAUACAUUAGCAUGGAGUAAUGAAAUAGGACGAUCGAUCCUAUUUUGUUGGUUUCUAGGAUUGACGUA